rnacentral:tRNA from 2 species
GCCUGCAUAGUUAAAUGGAUAUAAUAAACCCCUCCUAAGGGUUAGUUAUGGGUUCGAUUCCCGUUGCGGGUGCCA